rnacentral:rRNA from 1 species
UACGGGGGGGGCAAGCGUUGUUCGGAAUUACUGGGCGUAAAGGGCUCGUAGGCGGCCAACUAAGUCCGACGUGAAAUCCCCAGGCUUAACCUGGGAACUGCGUCGGAUACUGGAUGGCUUGAAUCCGGGAGAGGGAUGCGGAAUUCCAGGUGUAGCGGUGAAAUGCGUAGAUAUCUGGAGGAACACCGGUGGCGAAGGCAGCAUCCUGGACCGGCAUUGACGCUGAGGAGCGAAAGCCAGGGGAGCAAACGGG